CACGUAGGGCGCGAGCGUUGUCCGGAAUUAUUGGGCGUAAAGAGCUCGUAGGCGGCCUGUUGCGUCCGCUGUGAAAGCCCGGGGCUUAACCCCGGGUCUGCAGUGGAUACGGGGCAGGCUAGAGGUAGGUAGGGGGAGAAUGGAAUUCCCGGUGUAGCGGUGAAAUGCGCAGAUAUCGGGAGGAACACCGGUGGCGAAGGCGGUUCUCUGGGCCUUACCUGACGCUGAGGAGCGAAAGCGUGGGGAGCGAACAGG
rnacentral:rRNA from 1 species